UUGGGGAAUCUUCCGCAAUGGGCGAAAGCCUGACGGAGCAACGCCGCGUGAGGGAUGAAGGCCUCUGGGCUGUAAACCUCUUUUAUCAAGGAAGAAAAAAAUGACGGUACUUGAGGAAUCAGCAUCGGCUAACUCCGUGCCAGCAGCCGCGGUAAUACGGAGGAUGCAAGCGUUAUCCGGAAUGAUUGGGCGUAAAGCGUCCGCAGGUGGCACUUCAAGUCGAUUGUUAAAGGUCUUGGCUUAACCAAGAACAGGCAGUGGAAACUGAAGAGCUAGAGAGUGGUAGGGGCAGAGGGAAUUCCCGGUGUAGCGGUGAAAUGCGUAGAGAUCGGGAAGAACACCAGUGGCGAAAGCGCUCUGCUAGACCACAACUGACACUGAGGGACGAAAGCUAGGGGAGCGAAUGGGAUUAGAUACCCCUGUAGUCAAU
rnacentral:rRNA from 1 species